rnacentral:rRNA from 1 species
UAAUUAGGGGGGAGGAAAAGAAACCAACAGGGAUUGCCUUAGUAACGGCGAGUGAAGCGGCAAAAGCUCAAAUUUGAAAUCUGGCACCUUCGGUGUCCGAGUUGUAAUUUGAAGAAGGUAACUUUGGGAUUGGCUCUUGUCUAAGUUCCUUGGAACAGGACGUCACAGAGGGUGAGAAUCCCGUGCGAUGAGAUGACCAAUCCUAUGUAAAGUGCUUUCGAAGAGUCGAGUUGUUUGGGAAUGCAGCUCUAAGUGGGUGGUAAAUUCCAUCUAAAGCUAAAUAUUGGCGAGAGACCGAUAGCGAACAAGUACAGUGAUGGAAAGAUGAAAAGAACUUUGAAAAGAGAGUGAAAAAGUACGUGAAAUUGUUGAAAGGGAAGGGCUUGAGAUCAGACUUGGUAUUUUGCAUUCCUUACCUUCGUGGUGGGGUUCCUUGCAGUUUACUGGGCCAGCAUCGGUUUGGAUGGUGGGAUAAUGACAUUGGAAUGUGGCUCUGCUUCGGUAGAGUGUUAUAGCCAGUGUUGAUACCGCCUGUCUAGACCGAGGACUGCGUCUGACAGGAUGCGGCAUAAUA